UCUCUUGCUGGCGGAGAUAGGCGGGGCUAUAAAUGUCAACGCGAAAAUAUAUGCAGUUUGACAUUUAUGUACCCGACAUGUUUCUGAGCGAGAACAAAGGGAACACCAGCGACAUUCGUCCUCUAUAGUUUUCUAUCUCUAUUAAUUAUCCUGAUAUUCAUGACAGUUUUCUCCGGCCAGCUCAGUGUUUACCAUUUCUGGAGCUCGAUUUGAAAAGGUCGUAAGUAACAAAAGUAAAUAAAUCAUGCUAAUUUCACCAUUAGGUAGAUUCUACUCAGCUUAAUAUGUGGUUAAAAUAUCAUUUCGAUAUGAUAUUUCUUCAAAAAUAAAUUAAAAGUUAACACUUCGACGUAAUUAACGAAAACUAGAAACAGUGCAAAUUUGUUCAUUCGUCCUAUUGCGCAUAAGGUCGAAAGUAGCAAAAAUGACUAAACCCGAAAAAUCGUGUAUUCGACCUUUUGUCGACAAAGGUCCCAUGAGCGACAGCUGUCAAAAUAAAUGGAAAAGUUUAUACGACGCACCUGUAAUAUUGAUUCUGCCUCGUUUAACAGUUUUUUUGCACCAUGUUAAUCCACCCAUUCAUUGCUUGAUGCUGCGAUUCUCCGAAAACAAACCGUUUGGUUUGCCUAUGGAAAGACCUCAACUGAAGACCCGCCAGAUCGCAGCUUUGUUAUCUCUUCACUUGAUGGUUCCAGUGGAGAAACAGCAUCGGGAUCGAUUCCAUGGAUGAGAAUGAGCAUCCAUUCGCCAUCCAACCUUCAAGCGAAUCAGUGUAUUCCAUGGCAAAAUCGGUCCGCACCGGCUUGGCACCUGGAAACAUCAAUGGAUCAUUCUUCCCAUGCCAAUCAAUCCCUUCGUCUUUCCUGACACGUCUUCAUUCGUUGAAUCACCAGCUUCGUCAGACGAUAGCCCAGGCCUUGAAACCGAGUCCAUAAAAACGAGUUAUGGAGAGUUGACUGUUGUACUAAAUUCGGUUUUUGUUUACUAACUACUAAACAGCUCGAAGAUUUAUUAUCAAAAACUAUUUUUUGAAAUGUGUUAACUUAUUUCUA
rnacentral:lncRNA from 1 species